rnacentral:rRNA from 1 species
AAAUUGAAGAGUUUGAUCAUGGCUCAGAUUGAACGCUGGCGGCAGGCCUAACACAUGCAAGUCGAACGGUAGCACAGAGAGCUUGCUCUCGGGUGACGAGUGGCGGACGGGUGAGUAAUGUCUGGGAAACUGCCUGAUGGAGGGGGAUAACUACUGGAAACGGUGGCUAAUACCGCAUAACGUCGCAAGACCAAAGAGGGGGACCUUCGGGCCUCUUGCCAUCAGAUGUGCCCAGAUGGGAUUAGCUUGUUGGUGAGGUAACGGCUCACCAAGGCGACGAUCCC